rnacentral:lncRNA from 1 species
CUUGGCUUGAAUCUGGACUUCUCCUUCAAGAUCUAAAAGGAGAAGAACCCUGUGCGAACUCUUUCGUGCUGAAUCGAGGGAGAUGGCUUCUAAGAUGCCAAGAAGGGAUGAGAACCUUUCUCUUCCUUUCUUCUCUCUCUCUCUAAUCUCUUUAUCUGAUCAGAUCUGAGGAAGACGUGGGGCGUGAAGAGGAAGAAGGGAGAACAGUGUGGAGAUGAAGUCUUACAGCAAGGAAUACCCAAAAAUUUUUUACGCACGUCUUUUCCCACCCUUUUUAUUUUUGUCGCACAAAACCACCCCAAUGCCCCAACCUAAUAAGGAUAGGAUCCUCUUCCUCAUUUGAAUCAAAUUUAAACAAGUAGAGUCCAAAAAAGGCGAGAGAGACCUAGAGAGGAGGGGCGCCAACUAUUGGCGCUCCUCUCCUUUCAUGCACGCAAGACGCGGGCGCCCCUCUCCUUUCAUGCACGCAAGAUGCGUGCCCUCUCUCUUUCC